rnacentral:rRNA from 2 species
AACGCUGGCGGCGUGCCUAAUACAUGCAAGUCGAACGCAAAACUUUCAUUGAUUGACGGUGCUUGCACCUGAUUGACGAGACAUUGAAGUGAGUGGCGAACGGGUGAGUAACACGUGGGUAACCUGCCCCAAAGUGGGGGAUAACACUUGGAAACAGGUGCUAAUACCGCAUAACAACGAAGAUCGCAUGGUCUUCAUUUAAAAGAUGGUUUAAGCUAUCGCUUCUGGAUGGACCCGCGGUGCAUUAGCUAGUUGGUAAGGUAAAGGCUUACCAAGGCAAUGAUGCAUAGCCGAACUGAGAGGCUGAUCGGCCACAUUGGGACUGAGACACGGCCCAAACUCCUACGGGAGGCAGCAGUAGGGAAUCUUCCACAAUGGACGAAAGUCUGAUGGAGCAACGCCGCGUGAGUGAAGAAGGUUUUCGGAUCGUAAAGCUCUGUUGUUGAAGAAGAACGUGUAUGAGAGUAACUGUUCAUAUAGUGACGGUAUUUAACCAGAAAGCCACGGCUAACUA